rnacentral:rRNA from 1 species
GUGACUGCGUACCUUUUGUAUAAUGGGUCAGCGACUUAUAUUCUGUAGCAAGGUUAACCGUAUAGGGGAGCCGGAGGGAAACCGAGUCUUAACCGGGCGUUAAGUUGCAGGGUAUAGACCCGAAACCCGGUGAUCUAGCCAUGGGCAGGUUGAAGGUUGGGUAACACUAACUGGAGGACCGAACCGACUAAUGUUGAAAAAUUAGCGGAUGACCUGUGGCUGGGGGUGAAAGGCCAAUCAAACCGGGAGAUAGCUGGUUCUCCCCGAAAGCUAUUUAGGUAGCGCCUCGUGAAUUCAUCUCCGGGGGUAGAGCACUGUUUCGGCUAGGGGGCCAUCCCGGCUUACCAACCCGAUGCAAACUGCGAAUACCGGAGAAUGUUAUCACGGGAGACACACGGCGGGUGCUAACGUCCGUCGUGAAGAGGGAAACAACCCAGACCGCCAGCUAAGGUCCCAAAGUCAUGGUUAAGUGGGAAACGAUGUGGGAAGGCCCAGACAGCCAGGAUGUUGGCUUAGAAGCAGCCAUCAUUUAAAGAAAGCGUAAUAGCUCACUGGUCGAGUCGGCCUGCGCGGAAGAUGUAACGGGGCUAAACCAUGCACCGAAGCUGCGGCAGCGACGUUUAUGCGUUGUUGGGUAGGGGAGCGUUCUGUAAGCCUGCGAAGGUGGCCUGUGAGGGUUGCUGGAGGUAUCAGAAGUGCGAAUGCUGACAUAAGUAACGAUAAAGCGGGUGAAAAGCCCGCUCGCCGGAAGACCAAGGGUUCCUGUCCAACGUUAAUCGGGGCAGGGUGAGUCGACCCCUAAGGCGAGGCCGAAAGGCGUAGUCGAUGGGAAACGGGUUAAUAUUCCCGUACUUGGUGUUACUGCGAAGGGGGGACGGAGAAGGCUAUGUUGGCCGGGCGACGGUUGUCCCGGUUUAAGCGUGUAGGCUGGUUUUCCAGGCAAAUCCGGAAAAUCAAGGCUGAGGCGUGACGACGAGGCACUACGGUGCUGAAGCAACAAAUGCCCUGCUUCCAGGAAAAGCCUCUAAGCAUCAGGUAACAUCAAAUCGUACCCCAAACCGACACAGGUGGUCAGGUAGAGAAUACCAAGGCGCUUGAGAGAACUCGGGUGAAGGAACUAGGCAAAAUGGUGCCGUAACUUCGGGAGAAGGCACGCUGACACGUAGGUGAAGUGAUUUACUCACGGAGCUGAAGUCAGUCGAAGAUACCAGCUGGCUGCAACUGUUUAUUAAAAACACAGCACUGUGCAAACACGAAAGUGGACGUAUACGGUGUGACGCCUGCCCGGUGCCGGAAGGUUAAUUGAUGGGGUCAGCGCAAGCGAAGCUCCUGAUCGAAGCCCCGGUAAACGGCGGCCGUAACUAUAACGGUCCUAAGGUAGCGAAAUUCCUUGUCGGGUAAGUUCCGACCUGCACGAAUGGCGUAAUGAUGGCCAGGCUGUCUCCACCCGAGACUCAGUGAAAUUGAACUCGCUGUGAAGAUGCAGUGUACCCGCGGCAAGACGGAAAGACCCCGUGAACCUUUACUAUAGCUUGACACUGAACAUUGAGCCUUGAUGUGUAGGAUAGGUGGGAGGCUUUGAAGCGUGGACGCCAGUCUGCGUGGAGCCGACCUUGAAAUACCACCCUUUAAUGUUUGAUGUUCUAACGUGGACCCGUAAUCCGGGUUGCGGACAGUGUCUGGUGGGUAGUUUGACUGGGGCGGUCUCCUCCUAAAGAGUAACGGAGGAGCACGAAGGUUGGCUAAUCCUGGUCGGACAUCAGGAGGUUAGUGCAAUGGCAUAAGCCAGCUUGACUGCGAGCGUGACGGCGCGAGCAGGUGCGAAAGCAGGUCAUAGUGAUCCGGUGGUUCUGAAUGGAAGGGCCAUCGCUCAACGGAUAAAAGGUACUCCGGGGAUAACAGGCUGAUACCGCCCAAGAGUUCAUAUCGACGGCGGUGUUUGGCACCUCGAUGUCGGCUCAUCACAUCCUGGGGCUGAAGUAGGUCCCAAGGGUAUGGCUGUUCGCCAUUUAAAGUGGUACGCGAGCUGGGUUUAGAACGUCGUGAGACAGUUCGGUCCCUAUCUGCCGUGGGCGCUGGAGAACUGAGGGGGGCUGCUCCUAGUACGAGAGGACCGGAGUGGACGCAUCACUGGUGUUCGGGUUGUCAUGCCAAUGGCACUGCCCGGUAGCUAAAUGCGGAAGAGAUAAGUGCUGAAAGCAUCUAAGCACGAAACUUGCCCCGAGAUGAGUUCUCCCUGAGACUU